AUGGGCGAGAAUGAUAUUCAAAUGGAGAGUACAGAGCAAAUGCAGGAGCCUCACGCUUCAACCUCGGACAAAAUCGACUUGUCAUUAGACGACAUUAUAAAGCUGAAUAAGAAGGAACAGAAGGCAAACAGAGCUGCCAACAGAGCUAAAACUAAACGUGCUGUUAACAGGAACAACGUCUUGAAGAAACUCCACCAGGUUCCGCAGCAACAGAGGGGACUCAGACGAGGAGCGCAGCAGUACCAAGGGCCUGGCAGGGUGAGAGGUUUAAGGAGACAAAGAGGAUCUGGGAGGGGCAUGAUUUCGAGAAGGGAUUCACUAAAUAGAGCUGCUGCUGCUGCCACGACUGGUGAGCAGUUUGAUCAGAGCACAUUCACAUCGAGGGGAACAUUCAGAGGACGGGGAAGAGGUAGAGGAAGAGGAGGCGGACUGAGCAGGUUCUACACUCUUUUCUCUCUUUUAACAUUAUCAUUCAUAAAAUCUGAAUAAUAAAAUAAACUAUAAUAAUAGUAAUAGUCAACAGAAGUGGUGAAGUUGGACACAGGAACUCAUGAGAACUGGUUUUCAUGGGAAAUAGUCUUCCAGUUUAUAGCCCAGUCUCUUUGAAGAUUCUAUUUGAAGCCAUAAUAUCUGCAUAAAUAUAAACACUGAAAGUCACAGAUGCAGAAGAGAGAAGUGAUAGAAAACAUUUCCAUGCAGCCAAGGCUGAAAUGGCCAAUUGCUCCUUGCUGAAUAGAUUUAUUCAUUUCUUAAUACUUAAUGAAUAAAAAACCCUAUUGGACUUUAAACAGUUAUUCAUUAAAGAAUCCUGAAAAAAUAUUUCCACAAAAAUAGCAGAACUGUUUUCAACACUGAUUAUAUAUUUCUUUACACACCAAAUCGGCAUAUGAGAAUGAUUUCUUAAGAAUGUGACAGACUUGUGAAAGACUGGAGUAGUAACUGCUGUAAUUCAGUUUUGCCAUCGCAGGAAUAAAUACUUUUUAAAAUACAUUAAAAUAGAAAACUGAUAUUUUAAAUAAUAAUUGCAGUAAUAAUAUUUUAGAUAAUAAUAUUUGACGAUAUUACUGUAUUUUUGAUCAAAUAAAUGCAGCCAUGGUGAGCAUAAGAGACUGGAUGAUUUAAAAAUCAUUAAAAUUCUAAUAUAUAUAAAAUACCACAGAACAAUAAAUGGUAAAAAAAAAAAAUGUGUUGGGUGACAUCUGGUAAACUCUGUACCUCAUUUUUGUCAGACUACAGAAAAUAUGCUCCUGUUAACCCAUUACCUUAUGGGUUGUGAAAUAAAAAACAAAAUCUUCUUAUAAAUAACAUUCAACUUUUCCAAAUAUAUCCAUAAUCCCACCAUAGCACAGUCUGCAGUUUAAAAUAAUUGUUUGUUUGCUGUUGUUGUUGUUGUAGGGGUGCAUUCUCAACAAGAGGACAAAGGGGUGGAAGACCAUUUGUAUUAGACAGAGGGGUAAGAAGGACAAUCUUUAUUAAUAAAUAUAAAUAACAUUCACAUUAUACAAAACCUAUACAUGGAUUGACCUUGCUGUUAAUAUAUUUUAGACCUUCACUUCUGUGUCCUGUCUUUGUUACUAUAGUUUGCCGCUACAAAAAGAGCUGAGAAACUACAAAAGUAUCAGACAAUAAGAAGGUGAGUUUUUACUUACAUAAGAAGAUGACUGUAUACAGACAAUAAGAAGGUAGUAGUUUACUUACAUAAGAAGAUGACUCUAUAUUCCAAAACAUAAUCUCAGGGUGUGUAAACUAUUAGUCUUCGCUCGUUUUCUCUCUCUCUGUGUUUGUCACACACACAUACUGAAGUCGAAGAACAGCACCAUCUGGCUCCAUGCUGACAGUUUCCCUGCCAAAUGCUAAAUCUGCACCUGUCGCUGUGUGAGUAAAUCAACCUUCUCACUUCCUUCUCAUUCACUGUGUGUACAAACAAAAAAAAUGUCCUUUUUUAAAAGAAAAUGUAAAUUAUUGAUUGUUAUAUGAUGAAGGUUUUUACAUUUUUAGGUUAUGAAAAAUAAAAUGUUAAAAAGUACCUCAUACAGUGUAAAUACUGUUUUGCAUUCUGAUAUUAGAAGGAAAACUCAGCGAUAAAAACUGAAUCCUAUACUUUAAACAAAAUGUAAAAAAUAUAUAUCAAAAGUUGUUUACAUUUGAUAUCAUCAUAUCAAUAAACACCAAACAAUGAACAGUUUUUAUUUUUGGGAGAAUUAUUUUGUGAUGUCUGUCUGGUCUGUCUGUUUAUUUGGACAUGCUGCUUAAAGUAAUAUAUCAAAAGUUGUUUACAUUUGAUAUCAUCAUAUCAAUAAACACCAAACAAUGUAACAGUUUUUAUUUUUGGGUAGAAUUAUUUUGUGAUGUCUGUCUGGUCUGUCUGUUUAUUUGGACAUGCUGCUUAAAGGGAUAGUUCACCUAAAAAUUUAAAUUCUGUCACAAUUUACAGACUUUCAUGUUGGGUAAACUAUCCCUUUAUGCAAAAAUUGGUGAGUCUUUGGCUACUUUAGUGGAUAUUGAGACAUUUUUAUCCCAUGUUACAAGUGGUAUUCACCAAUUUCCAAUAUAAAAACUGGCUAUUUAUUAACACAUACAGAUAUUUCAGAUGUUUCAUUCUUGAUGUUUCUUUUAAAGAUGUUUCCUUUUGUAUCUAAUUAAAAAAUAUCUUUAAUAUUUUUUUUUUGUUAAAAAUGAUAAUUGUUCGGGGGUCUUCAAUUUUAUGAAGUAAUAGUAUUUACUGAAAAAUUCAUUUUUGGUAAAAAAAAAUAAUUUUGGUGCAUCACUGUUUACUGUAAUAAUGUCGUUCAACUUAAUAUCUGUAACAUUUCUGACAGCGGGAUAAGGGGUUUUUAUUGCUGUGUACAAACAAAAAAAAUGUCCUUUUUAAAAGAAAAUGUAAAUUAUUGAUUGUUAUAUGAUGAAGGUUUUUACAUUUUUAGGUUAUGAAAAAAUAAAAUGUUAAAAAGUACCUCAUACAGUGUAAAUACUGUUUUGCAUUCUGAUAUUAGAAGGAAAACUCAGCGAUAAAAACUGAAUCCUAUACUUUAAACAAAAUGUAAAAAAUAUAUAUCAAAAGUUGUUUACAUUUGAUAUCAUCAUAUCAAUAAACACCAAACAAUGAACAGUUUUUAUUUUUGGGAGAAUUAUUUUGUGAUGUCUGUCUGGUCUGUCUGUUUAUUUGGACAUGCUGCUUAAAGGGAUAGUUCACCUAAAAAUUUAAAUUCUGUCACAAUUUACAGACUUUCAUGUUGGGUAAACUAUCCCUUUAUGCAAAAAUUGGUGAGUCUUUGGCUACUUUAGUGGAUAUUGAGACAUUUUUAUCCCAUGUUACAAGUGGUAUUCACCAAUUUCCAAUAUAAAAACUGGCUAUUUAUUAACACAUACAGAUAUUUCAGAUGUUUCAUUCUUGAUGUUUCUUUUAAAGAUGUUUCCUUUUGUAUCUAAUUAAAAAAUAUCAAUAUUUUUUUUUUUGUUAAAAAUGAUAAUUGUUCUCAUGUUGUUAGCCCCUUUCAUCAUUUUGGUGAGAAAACAAGGGCACAGACAUGAGCAAAUGUUAACAAUGGAUGAAUUCUGUGAAGUCCUGUCAUAGAGGUUGUUUUGUCUCACAUGAUGUUAUCAAAAUGAACCUCAGGUUGAAGCUAACAGUAAAUCCUUCACUUUGCAAUGACUAACCUCAGGCCACUUCUUGAAGACUGUUCAUUUUAUUGCCAUAGUUACUAUAGUUAAACCAUGGUAACCACAAAUUAACCAUGGUUUUGCUACACUAACCAUAGUUUAACCAUGGUAUUUGUAGUAAAACUGGUAAUCAAUACACCAAACAAACGUGGUUACUACACUUUCACUUCAAUAAAAGUUGGUUCAUUUUCAUAAGGGUCAUUAAUACAAGCUCCAGUUAAAUCAUCCCAACACUCCUCCAGCCCAGACUAACCCAGCUCUCUGUUCCUAGCUCUAUCUGUCAGUGGAUCACCAGCUUUCUGACAGAUAGACAACAGCUAGUGAGAAUUGGUAAAUUCACUUCCAACGCCCGCACCAUCAGCACUCCUCAGGGGUAUGUGCUCUCCCCACUGCUCUUCUGCCUCUAUACCAACAACUGCACCUCUAUAGACCCCUCUGUCAAACUGCUGAAGUUUGCAGACGACACGACAGUCAUGAUACAGAAGAGCAUACGCAGCAUAUAGUGAUAUGGAGAGACACAGAGGAGACUGUUGUUGACAAAGGAUUGUUGAAUAAAGUUUUUUUUUUCUGCUUACGGAAAGUAUGUCUUUCAUACUUUUAUGGACUUUGUUCUUUCAUACUUUUAUGACACUGUUAUUUACUUGGCAGUCAAUUGGACAGUCACAGGCCUCAUGGUUUUCAUCCAAAAUAUCUUCAAUUGUGUUCCGAAGACGAAUAAAGCUUUUACAGGUUUGUAACGACAUGGGAGUAAGUGAUUAAUGACAAAAUUUUCAUUUUGGAGUGGAGUAUCCCUUUAACAACUUGGAGCUUAACAUGCUCAGAACUGUGGAGAUGAGGACUUCAGGAGAAACCCCCCUUGCCCUCUUCUGUCACCAAGGAAAAUACCUUGUGUGUGUAAGCACACUUGGCAAUAAAGUUCUUUCUGAUUCUGAUCUUUAAUAUCAAUGCUUUAUUAACCCAGGCAAACAUACAAAAGCAGACAAGCGACUGGAGACACCAUAGACGGAAGACACAAGCAUCCGCU
rnacentral:lncRNA from 1 species